GGGAAGAGCUCAAAUUUAUAAUCUGGCACCUUCGGUGUCCGAGUUGUAAUCUCUAGAAAUGUUUUCCGCGUUGGACCGCACACAAGUCUGUUGGAAUACAGCGGCAUAGUGGUGAGACCCCCGUAUAUGGUGCGGACGCCCAGCGCUUUGUGAUACAUUUUCGAAGAGUCGAGUUGUUUGGGAAUGCAGCUCAAAUUGGGUGGUAAAUUCCAUCUAAAGCUAAAUAUUGGCGAGAGACCGAUAGCGAACAAGUACCGUGAGGGAAAGAUGAAAAGCACUUUGGAAAGAGAGUUAACAGUACGUGAAAUUGUUGGAAGGGAAACGCUUGAAGUCAGACUUGCUUGCUGAGCAAUCGGUUUGCAGGCCAGCAUCAGUUUUCCGGGAUGGAUAAUGGUAGAGAGAAGGUAGCAGUUUCGGCUGUGUUAUAGCUCUCUGCUGGAUACAUCUUGGGGGACUGAGGAACGCAGUGUGCCUUUGGCGGGGGUUUCGACCUCUUCACACUUAGGAUGCUGGUGGAAUGGCUUUAAACGACCCGUCUU
rnacentral:rRNA from 1 species